AAGUAGAAGACGCAUUACUGUUAAGAGGCUGACUUCCGGCAUCUGCAUUCCGUGCCUGUAUCAGCUCCCCUGUCAUCAAGAAAAGCUUGGGAGCUUCCCAAUGAAGUGUGAAGUGUUCUAAGAGACAACACAGGACAAUUUCCUUUGAUGGUGAAGCUUUCCAAAGAAUGAUUGCCUCAGUCAUCUUGGUUCCUGAAUGAUAGUGAACGGAAGCUGAGCUGCAGGCCUGGAAAAGACGCCGAGGUUGGGAGGAAGAAUGGCUGACGCCAACUCCAACUAUUUCUGAAAAGAGUUGCUGGGGACAAAGUGGAGAUGUGGGUAGGCCUCCUCAAGCCGGGCUCUCAGAAGCAGGUGAGAUGCAAGAUAAAGCAAUCGCUUU